UACGGAGGGAGCUAGCGUUGUUCGGAUAUACUGGGCGUAAAGCGCACGUAGGCGGCGCCGUAAGUCAGGGGUGAAAUCCCGGAGCUCAACUCCGGAACUGCCCUUGAAACUGCAGUGCUAGAAUCUUGGAGAGGCGAGUGGAAUUCCGAGUGUAGAGGUGAAAUUCGUAGAUAUUCGGAAGAACACCAGUGGCGAAAGCGACUCGCUGGACAAGUAUUGACGCUGAGGUGCGAAAGCGUGGGGAGCAAACAGG
rnacentral:rRNA from 1 species